UACGGAGGGUGCAAGCGUUGUCCGGAUUUAUUGGGUUUAAAGGGUGCGUAGGCGGCCUUUUAAGUCAGUGGUGAAAGCCCAUAGCUCAACUAUGGAACUGCCAUUGAUACUGAAAGGCUUGAGUACAGACGAGGUUGGCGGAAUGGAUGGUGUAGCGGUGAAAUGCAUAGAUACCAUCCAGAACUCCGAUUGCGUAGGCAGCUAACUAGGCUGUAACUGACGCUGAGGCACGAAAGCGUGGGGAGCGAACAGG
rnacentral:rRNA from 1 species